GGUUCUGUAGAUCAGUUGGUUAGAUCACCUGCUUUACACGCAGGAGGUCGCGAGUUCGAUCCUCGCCGGAAUCA